rnacentral:rRNA from 1 species
UACGUAGGUGGCAAGCGUUGUCCGGAUUUACUGGGCGUAAAGAGCGCGCAGGCGGUUUGUAAGCCAGAUGUGAAAUCCCCGGGCCUUAACCUGGGAACUGCAUUUGUGACUGCAUGGCUGGAGUGCGGCAGAGGGGAUGGAAUUCCGCGUGUAGCAGUGAAAUGCGUAGAUAUGCGGAGGAACACCGAUGGCGAAGGCAAUCCCUGGGCC